rnacentral:rRNA from 1 species
UACGUAGGGCGCAAGCGUUAUCCAGAAUUAUUGGGCGUAAAGGGCGCGUAGGCGGCCAUUCAAGUGACGGGUGAAAGCCCUCGGCUUAACCGAGGAACUGCCUGUCAGACUGGAUGGCUUGAGACCGGGAGAGGUGAGUGGAAUUCCUGGUGUAGCGGUGAAAUGCGCAGAUAUCAGGAGGAACACCGGUGGCGAAGGCGGGUCUCUGGGCCGAUACUGACGCUGAGGAGCGAAAGCGUGGGGAGCGAACAGG